GAUCAUGGCUCAGGAUGAACGCUGACAGAAUGCUUAACACAUGCAAGUCAACUUGAAUUUGGGUUUUUAACUUAGAUUUGGGUGGCGGACGGGUGAGUAACGCGUAAAGAACUUGCCUCACGGCUAGGGACAACAUUUAGAAAUGAAUGCUAAUACCUGAUAUUAUGAUUUUAAGGCAUCUUAGAAUUAUGAAAGCUAUAAGCACUGUGAGAGAGCUUUGCGUCCCAUUAG
rnacentral:rRNA from 1 species